ACGCUCGACACCUACGGGAGGCAGCAGUGGGGAAUAUUGCACAAUGGGGGAAACCCUGAUGCAGCGACGCCGCGUGAGCGAAGAAGUAUUUCGGUAUGUAAAGCUCUAUCAGCAGGGAANAAACUGACGGUACCUGACUAAGAAGCACCGGCUAAAUACGUGCCACAGCCGCGGUAAUCUGAGGCGGGCUGGCAAGGC
rnacentral:rRNA from 1 species